UACUCCCUGUCGGUUAAGUCUUGUUGAGCUUAGUAGCUCAGCCCUGUUGUGGCUCCUGUUUUCAGGUGAAGUUGCUGCUCCCGACCCUUCUUCCGCUGGCACUUGGCCGCCCCAGCUCCCUCCGGGUUGGACGGUCGAGUGGGAUCCCUCCUCGAAUGGCGAGGAGAGGGAUCAGUGAUGUCCCGGCUGGCCUCACCAGGGAUGUCCGACCUCGACGUUUUGCUUCCGCUAGUGGUUUUACCUUCUGUUGUUUUUCUUGAAACCUUGUAAAACUCUGAUGUUUAUUUCAUAACCA
rnacentral:lncRNA from 1 species